CAGGUGGUGUUUUGGAGAUUGUGUGUGUGUCUCUCUACAUGUGUGUAUGUGAGAGUGAAAGCUCAGGUGGUGUUUUGGAGAUUGUGUGUGUGUCUCUCUACAUGUGUGUAUGUGAGAGUGAAAGCUCAGGUGGUGUUUUGGAGAUUGUGUGUGUGUCUCUCUACAUGUGUGUAUGUGAGAGUGAAAGCUCAGGUGGUGUUUUGGAGAUUGUGUGUGUGUCUCUCUACAUGUGUGUAUGUGAGAGUGAAAGCUCAGGUGGUGUUUUGGAGAUUGUGUGUGUGUCUCUCUACAUGUGUGUAUGU